GUGCUUGUAGCUCAGCUGGAUAGAGCAACGCCCUUCUAAGGCGUGGGUCGGGCGUUCGAAUCGCUCCAGGCACACCA
rnacentral:tRNA from 2 species